AGAAUCUUUCGCAAUGCCCGAAAGGGUGACGAAGCGACGCCGCGUGUGGGAAGAAGGCCUUCGGGUUGUAAACCACUGUCGGGAGUUAGGAAAUGUAAGGGUGUUAAUAGUAUCCUUACUUGACUAAGGCUCCGGAGGAAGCCACGGCUAACUCUGUGCCAGCAGCCGCGGUAAUACAGAGGCGGCAAGCGUUGUUCGGAAUUAUUGGGCGUAAGGAGCACGUAGGCGGCCUUGUAAGUCAGUUGUGAAAGCCUUCUGCUUAACGGAAGAACAGCAGCUGAUACUGCAAGGCUAGAGUGCGGAAGGGGAGAGUGGAACUUCUGGUGGAGCGGUGAAAUGCGUAGAUAUCAGAAGGAACACCGGCGGCGAAGGCGACUCUCUGGUCCGUAACUGACGCUGAGUGUGCGAAAGCUAGGGGAGCAAACGGGAUUAGAUACCCCGGUAGUCCUAGCCGUAAACGAUGGGCACUAAGUAGAGGGGUUUUGAUUAUCUCUCUGCCGGAGCUAACGCAUUAAGUGCCCCGCCUGGGGAGUACGGCCGCAAGGCUAAAACUCAAAAGAAUUGACGGGGGCUCGCACAAGCGGUGGAGCAUGUGGCUUAAUUCGAUGCAACGCGAAGAACCUUACCGGGGUUUGACAUGGUAGAAGUAGGAGCCUGAAAGGGUGACGAACGGUAUCCAGUCCGUGACUAUCACAGGUGUUGCAUGGCUG
rnacentral:rRNA from 1 species